rnacentral:rRNA from 1 species
UUGGAGGGCAAGUCUGGUGCCAGCAGCCGCGGUAAUUCCAGCUCCAAUAGCGUAUAUUAAAGUUGUUGCAGUUAAAAAGCUUGUAGUUGAAUUUCGGGAUCAGAGUGUCGGUCGUGCCUCGGUACGCACUGGUAUUAUUGGUUCCUACCUUCUGAAGAACCGCGAUGUCAUUAAUUUGGUGUCGUGGGGAAUCAGGACUGUUACUUUGAAAAAAUUAGAGUGUUUAAAGCAGGCUUACGCUUGAAUACAUUAGCAUGGAAUAAUGAAAUAGGACGUUUGAUUAUAUUUUGUUGGUUUCUAGGAUUGACGUAAUGAUUAAUAGGGAUAGUUGGGGGCAUUAGUAUUCAAUUGUCAGAGGUGAAAUUCUUGGAUUUAUUGAAGACUAACUACUGCGAAAGCAUUUGCCAAGGAUGUUUUCAUUAAUCAAGAACGAAAGUUAGGGGAUCGAAGACGAUCAGAUACCGUCGUAGUCUUAACCAUAAACUAUGCCGACUAGGGAUCGGAUGAUGUUAAUUUUUUAAUGACUCAUUCGGCGCCUUACGGGAAACCAAAGUGUUUGGGUUC